AGUGAACGCUGGCGGUAGGCCUAACACAUGCAAGUCGAACGGCAGCACAGUGAGAGCUUGCUCUUACGGGUGGCGAGUGGCGGACGGGUGAGGAAUACAUCGGAAUCUACUUUUUCGUGGGGGAUAACGUAGGGAAACUUACGCUAAUACCGCAUACGACCUACGGGUGAAAGCAGGGGAUCUUCGGACCUUGCGCGAUUGAAUGAGCCGAUGUCGGAUUAGCUAGUUGGCGGGGUAAAGGCCCACCAAGGCGACGAUCCGUAGCUGGUCUGAGAGGAUGAUCAGCCACACUGGAACUGAGACACGGUCCAGACUCCUACGGGAGGCAGCAGUGGGGAAUAUUGGACAAUGGGCGCAAGCCUGAUCCAGCCAUACCGCGUGGGUGAAGAAGGCCUUCGGGUUGUAAAGCCCUUUUGUUGGGAAAGAAGAGCAGCAGGUUAAUACCCCGCUGUUCUGACGGUACCCAAAGAAUAAGCACCGGCUAACUUCGUG
rnacentral:rRNA from 1 species